rnacentral:rRNA from 1 species
AUCGAACGCUGGCGGCAGGCCUAACACAUGCAAGUCGAACGAGCGGCGGACGGUUGAGUAAUGGCUGGGAAAGUGCCUGAUGGAGGGGGAAAACGACGGGAAACGGUGGCUAAGACCGCUUACCAUCGGAUGUGCCCAGAUGGGAUUAGCUAGUAGGGGGGGUAACGGCUCACCUAGGCGACGAUCGCUAGCUGGUCUGAGAGGAUGACCAGCCACACUGGGACUGAGACACGGCCCAGACUCCUACGGGAGGCAGCAGUGGGGAAUAUUGCGCAAUGGGCGCAAGCCUGAUGCAGCAAUGCCGCGUGUGUGAAGAAGGCCUUCGGAUUGUAAAGUACUUUCGGCGGGGAGGCGUUACCCACAGAGAAAGCCCCGGCUAACUCCGUGCCAGCAGCCGCGGUAAUUC